rnacentral:rRNA from 1 species
GUGAGGAAUAUUGCGCAAUGGAGGCAACUCUGACGCAGCCAUGCCGCGUGCAGGAAGAAGGCGCUACGCGUUGUAAACUGCUUUUAACCGGGAAGAAACCCCAGGACGUGUCCUGGGUUGACGGUACCGGAGGAAUAAGCACCGGCUAACUUCGUGCCAGCAGCCGCGGUAAUACGAAGGGUGCAAGCGUUAUCCGGAUUCAUUGGGUUUAAAGGGUGCGUAGGCGGAGCGUUAAGUCAGUGGUGAAAUCCUGCAGCUUAACUGUAGACUUGCCAUUGAUACUGGCGCUCUUGAGUGCGCUUGAAGUGGGCGGAAUGUGCCGUGUAGCGGUGAAAUGCUUAGAUAUGGCACAGAACACCAAUUGCGAAGGCAGCUCACUAAGGCGAUACUGACGCUGAGGCACGAAAGCGUGGGGAUCGAACAGGAUUAGAAACCCGGGUAGUUCC